GCAAAUCCAUGACCAUGAGGAUUCUUAGCAGUGUGAUAAAGCUUGGUGUGAUCAACUCUACAGUAUGUAUAUAGUAUAUCAUUGCACUGAGUUUUGUAGACAGGGACAAAAAAAGCAAAACAAAAAAAUCCUUUCAUCUGUCUAACUUUGCAGUAGCUUGUUUAUAGUAAUGUUAACUUAUUUUACCUGCUGUAGUGACUUUUAUGUGUGUAUGUUUAUGUAUGUUUCAUGUUGUGACCUCUACUGUAAUGUAAAGGUUUACAUUACAUGGUUUAUGGUGCAUCUGUCUCUUUUAGUUCUGUAGAAUAUAGUUUGUAUAUUCAUGGAGUACUGAGGCUUAUUACUGCGCAUUCACGUUGUAGUAACUGCACCUUGUGAUAUUUUAUUAUGAUUUGCUUGACUCCAUUAUUAAGGCAAAUCAGGUUAUUAUUAAAAUGACACUCUUAGC